GACGAACGCUGGCGGCGUGCCUAAUACAUGCAAGUCGAACGGUUUAGUUCCAAGAGGCUUGCCUUUUGGAACUAGACAGUGGCGGACGGGUGAGUAACACGUAGGCAACCUACCUGUCAAACCGGGAUAACCUCGGGAAACCGAAGCUAAUCCCGGAUAAGCUCCUUUUUCGCAUGAAGGGGGAGUGAAAAGGUGCGACCUGAUGACAGAUGGGCCUGCGGCGCAUUAGCUAGUAGGUAGGGUAACGGCCUACCUAGGCGAUGAUGCGUAGCCGACCUGAGAGGGCGUACGGCCACACUGGGACUGAGAUACGGCCCAGACUCCUACGGGAGGCAGCAGUAGGGAAUCUUCGGCAAUGGGCGAAAGCCUGACCGAGCAACGCCGCGUGAGUGAGGAAGGCCUUCGGGUUGUAAAACUCUGUUGUUUGGGAAGAAGGGAAAGGGUAGGACCCUUAGGUGACGGUACCAAACGAGAAAGCCCCGGCUAACUACGUG
rnacentral:rRNA from 1 species